AUGCCUUGAAUAUAUGAUAAAUUUUCACUUUUGCUUUAAGGUACGUGAUGAUCGAGGAAAACUGCCAGAUAGAUCAAAAGACUGAUGUGUCACUUGUGGAUGAAGAUCGUAACUAUAGAAGAAAAGAAAUCUUGAUCUAUAGAAAGAGAGUUGAAGAUCUUGAACAAGAAUUAGAUAGAACCAUUCGUAAUUCUCAAAGAUUGAUACUUUCUUAUGAGAAAGAAGCACAUAUCAAUUGG